rnacentral:rRNA from 1 species
CCUACGGGUGACAGCAGUGAGGAAUAUUGGUCAAUGGGAGAGAGACUGAACCAGCCAAGCCGCGUGAGGGAAGACGGCCCUAUGGGUUGUAAACCUCUUUUGUCGGAGAACAAAACCCGGGACGUGUCCCCGACUGCGUGUAUCCGAAGAAAAAGCAUCGGCUAACUCCGUGCCAGCAGCCGCGGUAAUACGGAGGAUGCGAGCGUUAUCCGGAUUUAUUGGGUUUAAAGGGUGCGUAGGCGGUCCGUUAAGUCAGCGGUAAAAUUGCGGGGCUCAACCCCGUCGCGCCGUUGAAACUGGCAGUCUUGAGUUGGCGAGAAGUACGCGGAAUGCGCGGUGUAGCGGUGAAAUGCAUAGAUAUCGCGCAGAACUCCGAUUGCGAAGGCAGCGUACCGGCGCCAGACUGACGCUGAGGCACGAAAGCGUGGGGAUCGAACAGGAUUAGAUACCCUUGUAGUC